UCACAGCCAGUAUUGAUGAACG
rnacentral:miRNA from 2 species